UCUAUGAGCUUCUGAUGAAGCCUACAUUUGUAGGGACAUAUGAGAGUGCUGAUGAAUGCCAACCCCUGUGAUGGGAAAAA
rnacentral:snoRNA from 1 species